UACGAAGGGGGCUAGCGUUGCUCGGAAUCACUGGGCGUAAAGGGUGCGUAGGCGGGUCCUUAAGUCAGGGGGGAAAUCCUGGAGCUCAACUCCAGAACUGCCUUUGAUACUGAAGAUCUUGAGUUCGGGAGAGGUGAGUGGAACUGCGAGUGUAGAGGUGAAAUUCGUAGAUAUUCGCAAGAACACCAGUGGCGAAGGCGGCUCACUGGCCCGAUACUGACGCUGAGGCACGAAAGCGUGGGGAGCAAACAGG
rnacentral:rRNA from 1 species